rfam:Oceanospirillum linum strain ATCC 11336 NODE_5_length_237253_cov_767.829, whole genome shotgun sequence.
UGUCGGUCCCCCGCAACGAUACCUCGUGAACCUGGUCAGGUCCGGAAGGAAGCAGCCACAGCGAGCGACUCGUGUGCCGGGGUGUGGCUGGCGGGG